rnacentral:lncRNA from 1 species
ACAGUGGUUAGAUGAGUAUGAAAAUAUCAACAUUGAUGUUUCAGUCCAGAAUGAACCAAGCACCUCUACUUGCAUGGUCUUUCCUAUCCAGCUCAAUCAGAGCAAGCCAGAGGAUACUGACACAAUGAAUCAGCUCACGAAGGUCAUGGUCAACAAAAUGAUGGAUGCCUUAUCAGUUGGCUCAAGUCAUCAAAUGAUCACCAAAGCCAAUGCCAAAUGUUAUUUUGAGUCCAGUACCAGCAUGGCCACCAGAGACAUUGUAGAAGGGAUGUUGGAUUUGGUAAGGGAUAGCACCAGCAGUACUGGAGAGCAGAUCCCCAUCUUCAAGUCCAAGAAAAGCAAGAAAACCAUGUUCAGCAAGAUAUGCUUUAACAUAAAGUGUUCCAAGAAAGUUAGAAAGGACCACUGUCCUCAAAAGUCUAUGGAGUACCAGCCUCAGAACACUUCCCCUACUGUGUACUUUACAGGUAAGCCCUGCUGCUGCUCAUUCAAGACUAAGAUAUUAUUACUUUAGCGUUCAACUAAUUCAUUUGGAAAGACAUUGCACUCUGCUCUGAAUUGUUACCCAUGACAUACUGGAUGGUCUUUCUUUGCAGAGUCGAGGACAAAUUCUCAUGGCUCCUUUGCUCCAGAGGGAAAUGACAUCGCAUAUUUCUUCCCACCUGAAGAGAAGAGUCGCAAACCCUCCCUUUUCACCAGAAUGUAUAGAGCCAUCACUAGAAGCCUCUCCAACCCAAGAUAAUUUUCCUCAUUAAAUGAGAUUGCAUUCAUUUGUUGUCAUAUGUUGACUGUUUUGCUAGCACAGACUGUAAUAUGUUCUGCGAUUCAUCCACAUGCAUUGAGGAGUAUACCACCUCAGUCACAGGCUACAUCAAUAAGUGGAUCGACAACGUCGUGCCCACAGUGACCGUAUGUACAUAUCCCCGACAGAAGCCAUGGAUUACAGGCAACAUCCACACCGCGCUAAAGGCUAGAGCUGCUUCUUUCAAGGAGCGGGACACUAAUCCAGACACUUAUAUGAAAUCCUGCUAUGCCCUCAGACUAACCGUCAAACAGGCAAAGUGGUUGGUUAGGUCAGGGUGUGACUAGGGUGGGCAAUCUAGGUGAUGAUAAGCCAGUGAUAUAGAGACACUAGAAAAGGUUUGUUUUCAGUGGUGCAAAGUACUUAAGUAAAAAUGAUUUAAAUCGUUUUGGGGGUAUCUGUACUUUAACUAUUUAUAUUUUUGACAACUUCAGUACAUUCAUAAAGGACAAAAAUGUACUUUUGACUCCAUCCACUUUCCCUGAUACCCAAAAGUACAUUUUGAAUGCUUUGUAUGACAGGAAAAUGGUCCAAUUCACACACUUAUCAAGAGAACAUCCCCUACCUCUGAUCUGGCAGACUCAAUAAACACAAAUGCUUAGUUUAUAAAUUAUGUCUAAGUGUUGGAGUGUGCCCCUGGCUAUUCUUACAUUCAAAAAAAGCAAUACAAUUGUGUUGUCUGCUUUGCUUAAUUUUUAAAAUUAUUUUUACUUUUGAUACUUGAGAAUAUUUCAAACCAAAUACUUCCCAAGUAGUAUUUUACUGGGCAACUUUCACAUUUACUUGAGUCAUACUGUUUACAACUGACUGAUUGAGGACUUUUUCCACCACUGUUUGUUUUGGACAUUUAUUUUUUAUCAAAUGUAUUUGACAGGGACAAUCUACUGUAUUUCUGUAAAUGUGCCAGAUUUAGCCAGCUGGCUUUGUGAUGUAACAAAGGUAGCUGAUGAUGUAAUGAAAACAGACAGUUAAAUAUGUGUGUGUAGAACUGUUGCACAUUUGCUCUGGAAAUGAGGACCAAACCUACUCGUCAAAAGGAGUGAAUUGCACCUCCAAUUGAAGUCAAUAAUAAGGUAUGGAAUCAUGCCAAUACAGUCAUUAUUUAUAUAGCUCUGUAGCUUGCAGUAUUUUGAAGGAGAUAAGCAAGGGAAAAUGAUGCUUUGGUUAAUAUUUCUCACGUGAAAGGAAACAUGACCAUGCUAACUGAAAAAUGGAUACAUGAAUAUUGGUCAAAUGUACCUACAUCUUCUGAAACUGUGUUGGGCCUACUUGAUAAUUUAAAAAAAAGUCACAUAGACGAUGUCCAUAAAUUAGACAACAAUACUGAACAGUUGUAGCCCGUUGGUGGUGGUAGGCUUCUGGCUGUGAUCUCUGACCACUGUAACAGUGAAUAGUGGCAAUUUACCCGCGGUGUAUAGGCUUGUUUACUAGGCUAACUAGUGCAUUGGGGUGGGCUAUGUGCAGCAUGGGCAUACAGGAAACCACUCUAGCCACUUAACUCACCUUGGCCACGAGCUCUAUAGUUUACAGCUAUUGCAUCACCUACAAAGCAUCAACUGAAUGUUAAAUGUCAGGUAUUUUAAUUGUCUGUAUUGUCUACUUGUUAAAUGUUUGUAAAGUCUUCCUUUGUAAUUGUUUGUAAUGUCUUAUCAAUUGGUGUUGGACCACAGGAAGAUUAGCUAACGUUAUAGCGUUAGCUAAUGGGGACUCUAGUAAAGAUUCACAAGACUGUUCACAGAUUCACAUUGAUCACAGAAUCGGAUUGAUAAUCUUAAUUCGAAGUUUGAGUUUUUUACUGGACAACCAACACUUGACUGAUGGGCUAAUCCAUAGAAAGAAAAUGUGAUCUUGGAUCUUGAACUCCCCUAGCUACAUUUUGACUUAAUGUUCAAUAUUACUAGUCACUCUGUCCUUACGAACAGUAAAUCAUUGGGUCUGACUCUUUUGAUUUAAUGCAAUUUCAUCAUCGAUAGUGAAACAACCACCACAUAAUCGUCAACUCCCCCCUACAAAACAUGAAUUUAUUUGUGGUUUAUCCUCUUUAGCUAUUUGGUAUUAGGUGUGAUCCUGACUUGGAAUGGCCACGAAGUUACACAUUGUUUUAGGAAACAUGAAUUUAUUUGUGGUUUAUCCUCUUUAGCUAUUUGGUAUUAGGUGUGAUCCUGACUUGGAAUGGCCACGAAGUUACACAUUGUUUUAGGUCCAGUUAGUUUGGAAGUUGUGGUAAAUGGGGGAGUGUGAGCGCGUGUCAUGAGAUGCUGCAGGUGUUGAUAUGGGGAUGGAUAGGCUACCACUGCCUUUAAUUACUACGCUCUGCCUGCACCUACCUCAACUGGUACUCUGCUGCCUCGCUGUGGUGAGAGCACUAACACACUGAACAUGAUGGACAAGGAUGCUCCAUAUAGCCAUCCAUCACUGUCCAGGCACAGCCUGGGUGUAUGUAAUACAAUAUGACCAGAUAUGGUUUGAUAUCUCUUCUGAAACUGGGGUGGGGUUAUUGAGUUCAGGGUUGUGUAAUGGUUGCUUCCAUGUCAGUCCUCAAAUAUGAAUUUGCAUAGAAUCGAAUGAAUCACAUCCAAUGAUUUCCCGUUUUGGACAUUGUUUUGAAAAUGAUUCUCCAUAGCUGCCAUACCUUUGAUGUCAUAAACUGUUACAGAAUUCCCCUUCCUUAUUAUAAACUCUGAUUAAAAUCUAAUCAAAUCAAAUCAAAUUUUAUUUGUCACAUACACAUGGUUAGCAGAUGUUAAUGCGAGUGUAGCGAAAUGCUUGUGCUUCUAGUUCCGACAAUGCAGUAAUAACCAACAAGUAAUCUAACUAACAAUUCCAAAACUACUGUCUUAUACACAGUGUAAGGGGAUAAAGAAUAUGUACAUAAAGAUAUAUGAAUGAGUGAUGGUACAGAGCAGCAUAGGCAAGAUACAGUAGAUGGUAUUGAGUACAGUAUAUACAUAUGAGAUGAGUAUGUAAAAAAAGUGGCAUAGUUAAAGUGGCUAGUGAUACAUGUAUUACAUAAGGAUGCAGUAGAUGAUAUAGAGUACAGUAUAUACGUAUACAUAUGAGAUGAAUAAUGUAGGGUAUGUAAACAUUAUAUUAGGUAGCAUUGUUUAAAGUGGCUAGUGAUAUAUUUUACAUCAUUUCCCAUCAAUUCCCAUUAUUAAAGUGGCUGGAGUUGAGUCAGUGUCAGUGUGUUGGCAGCAGCCACUCAAUGUUAGUGGUGGCUGUUUAACAGUCUGAUGGCCUUGAGAUAGAAGCUGUUUUUCAGUCACUCGGUCCCUGCUUUGAUGCACCUGUACUGACCUCGCCUUCUGGAUGAUAGCGGGGUGAACAGGCAGUGGCUCGGGUGGUUGUUGUCCUUGAUGAUCUUUAUGGCCUUCCUGUAACAUCGGGUGGUGUAGCUGUCCUGGAAAAACUACGACUAUAACUAAAACUAUGGAGUUCAUUGGCCUACAACACGUGUGUGUAUUUGCCCUUAAAAUGAUAUUGCUAGAUGGAAGAAAAUAAUAAGAUAGGCCUAAACUGUAAUAAGAUGUACUUGAAAGAUACUAUAAAUAGCAGGAGACAUACCUGGGUUCUAGACUGGUAUUUAGGGCAAGCAUUUUAGGAAUAUACAUAUGGUUAGUGUCAACUUCUACUUACACGUUAAAGCUCAGCCAUGUUGCUACAUGUUUACUCAUUGACUUCAAGUAGAGCAUUGUUUGUGAAUCUGAAUAAAAGCCUAAUAAAAGUGUAUUGCCCCCAGCUUGGGCAGCACUGCUACACUGCUUUUUUGGGCUAAAGGUGUUUGUGACACGUGCAUGUGUUCCAAUGAUGUCAUAAUUGUCUGUAGCUUCUAUGUUGCCUAUCAACUUGGCUGUCCUUCAGAAAGUAGAUAAUACUUGUAUUUUCAAACAAUUAAUAAAAAUAUUAGCAACAAAACAAACUAAAUAGAUUUAAUCCAUUAAUAUGAUAUUGCCAGAUGGAAGAAAAUAACAAGGUAGGCCUAAACUGUAAUAAGAUAUAUCUUAUAGACUGCUUCAGUGCAUUUGGAAAGUAUUCAGACCCCUUGACUUUUAACACAUUUCAUUUUUUACAUUACAGCCUUAUUCUAAAAUGGAUUACAUACAACAUUUUCCUCAUCAAUCUACACACAAUAUCCUAUAAUGACAAAGCAAAAACAGUUUUUUAGACAUU